GCGAGCCCACCUCCCACCCGUGUUUACUGUACCUUAGUUGCUUCGGCGGGCCCGCCAUUCAUGGCCGCCGGGGGCUCUCAGCCCCGGGCCCGCGCCCGCCGGAGACACCACGAACUCUGUCUGAUCUAGUGAAGUCUGAGUUGAUUGUAUCGCAAUCAGUUAAAACUUUCAACAAUGGAUCUCUUGGUUCCGGCAUCGAUGAAGAACGCAGCGAAAUGCGAUAACUAGUGUGAAUUGCAGAAUUCCGUGAAUCAUCGAGUCUUUGAACGCACAUUGCGCCCCCUGGUAUUCCGGGGGGCAUGCCUGUCCGAGCGUCAUUGCUGCCCAUCAAGCACGGCUUGUGUGUUGGGUCGUCGUCCCCUCUCCGGGGGGGACGGGCCCCAAAGGCAGCGGCGGCACCGCGUCCGAUCCUCGAGCGUAUGGGGCUUUGUCACCCGCUCUGUAGGCCCGGCCGGCGCUUGCCGAACGCAAAUCAAUCUUUUUCCAGGUUGACCUCGGAUCAGGUAGGGAUACCCGCUGAACUUAAGCAUAU
rnacentral:rRNA from 1 species